GUCGAACGGUAGCACAGAGAGCUUGCUCUCGGGUGACGAGUGGCGGACGGGUGAGUAAUGUCUGGGAAACUGCCCGAUGGAGGGGGAUAACUACUGUAAACGGUAGCUAAUACCGCAUAACGUCUUCGGACCAAAGUGGGGGACCUUCGGGCCUCACACCAUCGGAUGUGCCCAGAUGGGAUUAGCUAGUACGUGGGGUAAUGGCUCACCUAGGCGACGAUCCCUAACUGGUCUGAGAGGAUGACCAGCCACACUGGAACUGAGACACGGUCCAGACUCCUACGGGAGGCAGCGGUGGGGAAUAUUGCACAAUGGGCGCAAGCCUGAUGCAGCCAUGCCGCGUGUAUGAAGAAGGCCUUCGGGUUGUAAAGUACUUUCUGCGGGGAGGAAGGCGGUGGAGUUAAUAGCUUCUUCGAUUGACGUUACCCGCAGAAGAGUUCCGGCUAACUCCGUGCCUCCCCCGGCGGUAAUACGGAGGGUGCAAGCGUUAGUAGCCAAUUACUGGGCGUAAAGCGCACGCAGGGCGGUCUCGUCAAGUCGCGAUGGUGAAAUCCCCGGGCUUAAUCCUGUGAACUGCCUUCGAAAUUGGCAGGCUAGAGUCUUGUAUAGGGGGGGUAGACUUCCUUCGUGUACCGUUUCAUGCCGUAUAUAUAUGCAGUAAACCGGGCGCGAGGAGU
rnacentral:rRNA from 1 species